rnacentral:tRNA from 1 species
GGCCUGGUGGUCUAGUAGUAUGAUUCCUUCUUAGGGUAAGCCGUUUGGAGGAGGUCCCGGGUUCAAUUCCCGGCCAGGCCC